GAAGACGAUCGGGCAGUCGCUGCUUUCGGGCAGAGGAAAGUCCGGGCUCCGCAGAGCAGGAUGCCGGGUAACGCCCGGUGGCGGCAACGCCGAGGAAAGUGCCACAGAGAACAGUCCGCCGAUGCGUCAGCGUCGGUCAGGGUGAAACGGUGGGGUAAGAGCCCACCGCGCGGUCGGCAACGGCCGCGGCACGGCAAACCCCAUCCGGAGCAAGACCGCAUAGAGGAGCGCUCGAGGGCUGCUCGCCCAAGCUCCCGGGUAGGUUGCUCGAGCCGCGAGGCAACUCGCGGCCUAGAGGAAUGAUUGCCAGUCCCGCGGGGGCGACCCCACGGAACCCACAGAACCCGGCUUAGGAUCGUCGACGGCC
rnacentral:RNase_P_RNA from 1 species